rnacentral:lncRNA from 1 species
UGUUCCAGGCCCUUUUUUUCUUUGCUGAUUUUACUUUGUAUCCUUUCACUGUAAUAAACCAUAACCGUGAGUACAACCACAAGCUGAGCCCUGUGAGUCCUCCUAGCAAAUCCCUGAAACUGGAAGUGGUCUUGGGGACCCUCAGCACAUUCUCUGCCACCAUGAGACUUUGAUAUGGUGGCAUCUCAGAUUCAGAAUGGAUGGUAGAGCCUACAAGAUAAGACUGGAGGAAAGCCAGAAAAGAUGAAACUCAGAACUCACUUAUCUUCACUUCUUUCUUCUUUCUUUCUUCUCCUUCCUACCAUUGCCUGAGUCUGGAAGGGGGAUCACAUUAUUUACACUGCCACUAUAUCAAAAUUUACUCCCUAAGGCAGGAGACCAUCACAAAGGAGAUCUGCCUCGAGGAAACUAUCAGACUGGCCCAGGAUGGAGAAUGAAGACAGCAAUUUGCUCUGUUCUCUAAAGCUCUGAUUCAAGUUCUCUAGUCUGCCGAAAAUAAAUAAAUAAAUAAUUUGACAUGAAAGA